GAGCGAAAUUCCUUGUCGGGUAAGUUCCGACCCGCACGAACGGCAGAAUGAGUUAGCAACUGUCUUGAAUCGUUACCCGGCGAAAUUGAAUUGGCUGUGAAGAUGCGGCCUACUUGCACCAGGACAAAAAGACCCCGUGGAGCUUUACUGUAGCUUGGCAUUGGGAAGACGUUUUCAACUGUCGAGAAUAGGUGGGAGCCGCAAGGCAACAGUGGAAUACCACUCUUUGGAAAUGUUGACCCUAACCCCUUUGCCACAUAAAAAUCUGGCAGGAGAACAGUGUCUGGCGGGCAGUUUCGCUGGGGAGGUGGCCUCCAAAAGUGUAACGGAGGCGUACAAAGGUCAGCUUAGUUGCAAUGGAAACGCAACGGUAUGUGCAAACGCAUAAGCUGGCUUGACUGCGAGACCUACAAGUCGAGCAGGGUCGAAAGACGGUGUUAGUGAUCCUCGUACUCGCUGUGGAAGCGGUACGGGCUUAACGGAUAAAAGCUACCCCGGGGAUAACAGGCUGAUCGGAUCCGAGAGUCCAUAUCGACGAUCCGGUUUGGCACCUCGAUGUCGGCUCAUCCUAUCCUGGGGCUGAAGAAGGUCCCAAUGGUCCGGCUGUUCGCCGGUUAAAAGGGUACGCGAGCUGGGUUCAGAACGUCGUAAGACAGUUCGGUCUC
rnacentral:rRNA from 1 species